AAAAUAGUGUAUAUUCUGCCUGAAGAACACAUGCUGAAUCCUGAAUUGUUCUCAGUGGUACUUCCCAGAAAGAGUCAUUCCAACAUCAGUUCUUACAUAGAAAAUUCUCUGAUGAACGACUGACUGUAGGCAAUGGAAAGUUAUAUGGCUGCAGGGAGAAGCAGUAGCUCAUCUGCCUUCCUGAAGAUGUCAGCUACCAAUUUUCUGGUUUUCUUCAGCUCUGUGCCAUUCCCCUCAUGCUACCAUAACCCAUGAGCCUCCAGAGGCAGCAGGUGCCACCAUGUCUGGAAGAUGUUACCUCUAAUUCAACCCCUCCAGCUGAACCUCUGCUGCCAUCCUGGAGCAGGAAAGAGCAUCCCCAGCUCACAUUCAACACAACGGAGAAAGUCAGCUCUUUCAGUUAUUUUAAGAAUCCCUAUGAACUUACAGAAUCCAGUUUUGAUGGAUGCGAUUGCUGGCAGAACAGUAAAAAGACAAAUAAUGUAAUUACUCAUUUCUCCAAGAACGGUGCUGUAUCUGGAGCAUAA
rnacentral:lncRNA from 1 species